rnacentral:rRNA from 1 species
GGACCCGCACAAGCAGCGGAGCAUGUGGUUUAAUUCGAAGCAACGCGAAGAACCUUACCAGGGCUUGACAUCCCUCUGACAGGUGGGUAACGCCACCCUCUCUUCGGAGCAGAGGUGACAGGUGGUGCAUGGUUGUCGUCAGCUCGUGUCGUGAGAUGUUGGGUUAAGUCCCGCAACGAGCGCAACCCUUGUCAUUAGUUGCCAUCAGGUGAUGCUGGGCACUCUAAUGAGACUGCCGGGGAUAACUCGGAGGAAGGUGGGG